rnacentral:rRNA from 1 species
UGGAUCCACACUUUGAUCAUGGCUCAGGACGAACGCUGGCGGCGUGCCUAACACAUGCAAGUCGAACGAAGCUUGACGAAUGAUUUCUUCGGAAUGAAUUCUGAUAUGACUUAGUGGCGGACGGGUGAGUAACACGUGAGCAACCUGCCUUUCAGAGAGGGAUAACGGCUGGAAACGGUCGCUAAUACCUCAUAACAUAUAUUUAAGGCAUCUUAGAUAUAUCAAAGAUUUAUCGCUGAAAGAUGGGCUCGCGUCUGAUUAGAUAGUUGGUGAGGUAACGGCUCACCAAGUCGACGAUCAGUAGCCGGACUGAGAGGUUGAACGGCCACAUUGGGACUGAGACACGGCCCAGACUCCUACGGGAGGCAGCAGUGGGGAAUAUUGCACAAUGGGCGCAAGCCUGAUGCAGCAACGCCGCGUGAGGGAAGACGGUUUUCGGAUUGUAAACCUUUGUCUUUGGUGAAGAAGAAAGUGACGGUAGCCAAGGAGGAAGCCACGGCUAACUACGUGCCAGCAGCCGCGGUAAUACGUAGGUGGCAAGCGUUGUCCGGAAUUACUGGGUGUAAAGGGAGCGCAGGCGGGACUGCAAGUUGGAUGUGAAAUACCGAGGCUCAACCUCGGAGCUGCAUCCAAAACUGUAGUUCUUGAGUGAAGUAGAGGUAGGCGGAAUUCCGAGUGUAGCGGUGAAAUGCGUAGAUAUUCGGAGGAACACCAGUGGCGAAGGCGGCCUACUGGGCUUUAACUGACGCUGAGGCUCGAAAGUGUGGGGAGCAAACAGGAUUAGAUACCCUGGUAGUCCACACUGUAAACGAUGAUAGCUAGGUGUGGGGGGUCUGACCCCUUCCGUGCCGGAGUUAACGCAAUAAGCUAUCCACCUGGGGAGUACGGCCGCAAGGUUGCAACUCAAAGGAAUUGACGGA